GAUGAACGCUGGCGGCGUGCCUAAUACAUGCAAGUCGAGCGAACAGACGAGGAGCUUGCUCCUCUGACGUUAGCGGCGGACGGGUGAGUAACACGUGGAUAACCUACCUAUAAGACUGGGAUAACUUCGGGAAACCGGAGCUAAUACCGGAUAAUAUAUUGAACCGCAUGGUUCAAUAGUGAAAGACGGUUUUGCUGUCACUUAUAUAUGGAUCCGCGCCGCAUUAGCUAGUUGGUAAGGUAACGGCUUACCAAGGCAACGAUGCGUAGCCGACCUGAGAGGGUGAUCGGCCACACUGGAACUGAGACACGGUCCAGACUCCUACGGGAGGCAGCAGUAGGGAAUCUUCCGCAAUGGGCGAAAGCCUGACGGAGCAACGCCGCGUGAGUGAUGAAGGUCUUCGGAUCGUAAAACUCUGUUAUUAGGGAAGAACAAAUGUGUAAGUAACUAUGCACGUCUUGACGGUACCUAAUCAGAAAGCCACGGCUAACUACGUGCCAGCAGCCGCGGUAAUACGUAGGUGGCAAGCGUUAUCCGGAAUUAUUGGGCGUAAAGCGCGCGUAGGCGGUUUUUUAAGUCUGAUGUGAAAGCCCACGGCUCAACCGUGGAGGGUCAUUGGAAACUGGAAAACUUGAGUGCAGAAGAGGAAAGUGGAAUUCCAUGUGUAGCGGUGAAAUGCGCAGAGAUAUGGAGGAACACCAGUGGCGAAGGCGACUUUCUGGUCUGUAACUGACGCUGAUGUGCGAAAGCGUGGGGAUCAAACAGG
rnacentral:rRNA from 1 species